CAGAACACAAACAGCAAGGAAGGAAAAACACAGCCACAAGAACAGUAUAGGGAUCAGAUUGCAAAGAUUCAAGAAUACUAAGCAAUACAAUCAACCUAACUAAUUUCUUAGAAAAUAAUCAAGAGAUAUACACUUGCAACAAGAAGUAAACAGAAACGACAACUAGAGUAAAUGAAAAUAAUAGCAACAGAAAACAGCAGCAAAAGGAAACAGCAGCAACAGUUAAUGAUUGAAAGAAAUAAUCCAAUCCAGAAACUUCAAAACUGUCUCUUCAAAACCUAUCUUGAUUUAAAAACAAGUUCAAGAACACAAUAAGGAUUAUGACAAAAAAUAAACCUGCUUGUUACAAUCCUAACUAAGUUCAAGAAAUCAACAGCAAGGAACAAAUCUCAUAAACAAAAUUAGCAAGCAGAACAGGAUAUCAAAAAUUCAAUCCAAGAUAUCUCACCGAGCAAAGAAAACAAAGGAUACCAAAUACUUACAGAAUUGGAUAAUCGAUUGCGGCCUCCAAUCUUCCGAAAAUGACACGACCUUUCAGAUCUUACCGAUCGCCUUCAAGAUCGAGUUCUCGGAUCUGAUCGCCAAUGGAUCUGGUUCGCCCUCGAGGGGCUCUGAUACCACUUGUUGAGAAAUCUGUGAACUAAACACACAACCAGAUUCCACAGUACCAAGCUCCAAAACAAAUAUCUGAACAAAAUCAAAAAGAAUACAACAUCGCAACACCACGCACACAAUAACGCACACAAUAGAAAAAUAAAGAACACAACAUAUACAUGUUCAAAUUCGAAAGAAUCCUAUUCACGGCAGAGGCUUUGCCUCUAGUUAAUCCACUAUACGAAUAGGUGAUUACACAACCAAGAUUACAUUCGAAUCCCUGAAGAAACAAAGCUAUCGAAAUCAAAACAGAAGCAAGAUACAACGAAAAAUAUAACUCGAUCUCAGAACGAGUAACAGAAACGAAACAAGCUUCUUACCAACGAAUCUCACACGCCAUAGGCGAUUUGCACCGAGAUAUACAUAUACCUGAAGCCGAUUCUUGCCAAGAACAGAGAUGAUUCACGAUGAGUCCGUCGGUUACAGAUUUAGGGUUUCAAACGAGAAAGAGAGAGAUCGCAAGCUUCUGCAGGUUAGGGCAUGAACAAGCCCUUAUAUACUUGGGCGCUAGAGACUUGGGCCAAGCAAUAGAGAUGGGCCAAAUAAGAGCUUGGGCUAGGUUGCUAAUAAAACUCAGCCCACCAAUGUAUAUAUCCAACAUAAUGUAUAUACAGCAGAAAACCAAAUGAGAUGCAAAUAUAAGUGAAAUGCAAAUUCACAUGAAACCCAAUUGCAAACAUAAAAUGCAAUAAUCAAAUACAUUUUGAAUCACCUAAAAUAUUAACAAAUUAUUAUUUUAAGAAUAAGUCAGAAAAGGCCAAGAAAAAUAAGGUUUCAAAUGUUGAAGAUACUAUGCACCCAUGUUGCUCCAUACCUAUAUCCGACCACAUGAGAAGAAUGGCCGAGUUAUUCCUCGCUAUGCAUAGAAAAAAGGAUAAUUCGCGAUUCGUCAAUAAGAGGUCCGAUGAUACUUAAGCUGACUUUUAGAUGCGCUAAUAUGAUGCAUCAUCACAUGUAUCGACGGGUGGUCCAUCAAAAGGUAGUGACGCUCGUCAACCCUCAUAACCAGCUAUUGAUGAAACAUUAUUAUGGAUGGAGAUUACAGGUAGGAAGAAAAAUGGUCAUGUGUAUGGGAUGGGGUCAGAAGCUCAUGUUAUCCUUGUUAAUCAUUCCUAUCAUGUACUGUUACCAUCGCCACCGUCGUCAUUCUCAUUCCUGGACCAGAUUCAACAAGUUGUUAGGGAAGCUGUGGAUCCCAUAUACCAACACUUGUUAGCUGUUAAAGAUAGACUCUGGAACCCUUCUUUAUCUUGGCCGCCAUAGAAUCCUUCGGAUCAUUAGGAGGAUAUGUUAUUAUCAUGAAUAGAUUUUUGGUUGUUCAAUUACUAUUCAUGGACGAUGUGUAUAUAUUUUAUGCAUGGA